rnacentral:rRNA from 1 species
AGAAUCAACGCUGGCGGCGCGCUUAACACAUGCAAGUCGAGCGAGAAAGGGGAGCAAUCCCUGAGUAAAGCGGCGUACGGGUGAGUAACACGUGGGUAAUCUACCUUUUAGUGUGGAAUAACCCUGGGAAACCGGGGCUAAUACCGCAUAAGCCUGAGAAGGGAAAGCAGCAAUGCGCUGAAAGAGGAGCCCGCGGCCGAUUAGCUAGUUGGUGGGGUAACGGCCCACCAAGGCGAUGAUCGGUAGCCGGCCUGAGAGGGCACACGGCCACACUGGCACUGAAACACGGGCCAGACUCCUACGGGAGGCAGCAGUGGGGAAUCUUGCACAAUGGAGGCAACUCUGAUGCAGCGACGCCGCGUGAGCGAUGAAGCCCCUCGGGGUGUAAAGCUCUUUCGGCAGGGACGAUAAUGACGGUACCUGAAGAAGAAGCUGCGGCUAACUACGCGCCAGCAGCCGC